CGUCGAAUAAGCUAAAAGGGAGAGGGGGAGGUACUUCUUAGAAGUAUGUGCUAACACUGACUCUGAGGGGAAUUGAGGAAGGGAACUUUUGAAUGAAAUAUGCUGACUGAGGAAGCAGCUGAGCUUCCUAUUUGAGGGUCUUCAGAGAGACACUGGCUGACUGCUAGUGGGAGAUUUUAGCAGGAUCGCUGGUCAAGUAUAAGAUGUACUAGAUGGCUUCUGAAGUCCUGUUAAGUAUGGUCUUCAGAAGUUCCUGGAAGUGCCCACCGUUCAUAAAACUGAAGAAGAGGGAGACCUAGUUAUGACCCCAGCUUGUGUUCAGUUCUUGGAUUCCUCCUUAUCCUUUGGAUUCCUCUGAAGUGAAACUGACCGGGAAAUCAUCCAGGGAGACUGACAGUACCCCAAAGCCAGACUCUUCAAAAGGAGCAUCACAGGACAUAAAACAGCAGUGUGAAGUCCAAUUCAGAGGUUUCAUUCCGGCCAGGAAACAAAAGCAAGAUCCCGGGGGGGGCCGUGUGGCCAGACCUUCGCCUCCCAAAUUGCACAAUGGAAACCUUGGGUGGAGAUGA
rnacentral:lncRNA from 1 species